rnacentral:misc_RNA from 1 species
GAAAUGCGAUAAGUAAUGUGAAUUGCAGAAUUCAGUGAAUCAUCGAAUCUUUGAACGCACCUUGCGCUCCUUGGUAUUCCGAGGAGCAUGCCUGUUUGAGUGUCAUGGAAUUCUCAACUCUAUUUGCUUUUGUGAAUAGAGCUUGGAUUUGGAGGUUUAUUGCUGGUACUUGUGAUCGGCUCCUCUUGAAUGCAUUAGCUCGAACCUUUGCGGAUCAGCUAUCGGUGUGAUAAUUGUCUACGCCGUUGCAGUGAAGCAUAUCAAUGGGCUCGGCUUCCAAUCGUCCUUUACUGGACAAUGACUUUGACCUUUGACCUCAAAUCAGGUAGGGAUACCCGCUGAACUUAAGC